GUGAAAGAGAACUCCAAGCCUUCAGUUUUCUCCCAGCAGAAAUCCUACAUCCUGAUGCACGUGUGCUGUGAAACCGUGACCUCUGACAACAGCCAAUCUGCUGACUGUGCAGUCCUGCCAGGGCACCAUCCCAGCAUGUCUGCCAUCCCGCCAGGACUGCAACUUGCUUUUACCCUUACAAUGACAUGUGCUGGAUCAUGGGAUCAUCCCAGCCUUGGAAGAUCAGCUCCAGCCGUAAAUUAAUGUUCCUCCACAAGUGGUACUUUGCAAGCAUAAAACAACAUUCUUGUCUUCUGAGCCAGUAUUGGUGUUAAUAGAAGAUUUGCCUUCAGGACUGGGUACUCAGAUCUUUCAAAUAUAGCCAACAGGUUUGCUGUAACUAUGUCAUGACAUCAGUCCAACUUGCUUUCCUUGGUGAAUGGAAUAUAUUAGGGAAUCUACACAAAAUUUUGUAUCUUAGUGCUCAACUACUUCUCCACCUACCUCUCAAAUGAAAUAUUUUUUCCUUUGGCAAGGAAAACAAAGGUGUGAAAAAUUCUUCUACUACGUGAUAAAUUGCUGAGGAGGUGCUGGGGAGGGCAUGGAACUGAAGUGAUGGACAAGGGCUGGAAAGAGUUACUGACUUUGAUCCCUGAUAAUAAAUGCAUCUGAAUGCAUAGCAAACAAUAGCAUACUGAAAUAACUGAUAACAAAGCAAAAAUGGAUCAGAUGAAAAGAAGACGGACGAAAGGAAACACAAUUCAUUUAGAUCUGAAUUGUUGACUGAAAUGUGGUCUUUGCAGGUAGAUUAGCUUUGGAAACAGUAAGGCUGUUACAGGAAAAAGAGGCAUAAAAUUUGUUGUGUGCGUACUGGGGAAGAAUACUGGCUUCCUGCAUGGAAAUGCAAGUUCUCAUGUGCAGGUGCCGGGUCAGAGCAGUGGCUGAUAGGCAGCACUCUGGGGCUUGUCUGUUCUCCGGGUGUUUUUCCCUUGUAGUCAGGUGUUAGAGAUGACUGUCCCCAUGAUCUGUGUAGGUCUGCACUCUGUGUCUGUGCUGCAGGUUAUUCCUGCUCCUACAGAAUGUUUCGUAUUGGCCAUUUUUUAUAUCACACUCUAUUUGUCUCAGACCAUUUCUCCAGUUUGACAAGAUCUUGUUGUGUUCCCUGCCUUCAAACAUGUCUGAAGCCAUCUCCAGUUGGUUGUUGAGUGCAUUUUAAUGUACAUCUUUUCCUAUCAGUGACCCAGGUCCACGCCAAAAGUACUGGAUGGAGCAAGAUCUGUCUACUCCAAAUCCUACUGUAUAGGAGGAGUAUGUUUGUCAGUGAGUAUUUCUGGUUGUACCUGAGAAGGGUUUUGCGACUUUCUCACAAUGUUUUGAUCAAGAGAGAUCAAGCUUGCUAGUUUCUUUAUGCAAGGUCUUCACUCCUCCCUGUCUUCUAGGCAGUUCUGCAGUCAGAAAAGGAUGCUGCAUUGGUUUGCUGUGAUUGAUUUUAAGGCAGUCCUUUGGCAUGGUUUAUCUCCUGGUUUAACCAUAGGUCUUUAGGAAUGGUAAACAUUUUGAAGUUAUGCUCUGUCUGAUGGAACACAGUAAACAAGGCAGUAAUUAAAAUCUCUUCUGGACUUUGAUCUCCUGUUCUCUCUGUACUACCAGCAAUGACUGUUUAAAAAGACACUUUUUACUAGAGAUUUGCAGUAUAAUUAAUGUUUUUCCGACCUGACUUUCUUGUGUACCAAUGACACCUCUCACCUUCAGUCCUGUGGAGGAUUGCUGUCUGCCCUGAGAGUGCAGAAAUCUGGAGUGGCUCAUUGUGUACUGAAUAAAUCACAAGGGAUGUUUUCAC
rnacentral:lncRNA from 7 species